ACGCUUAUACCAUGCUGAAAGCACCGGUUCUUCUCGUCCGAUCAUUGAAGUUAAGCAUCAUCGGGCGUGGUCAGUAUUUGGGAGGAGGAACACCGCGUGUC